AAGGAAGAUCAGUUAAUGGUGAAGGUCCCGAUUAUCAACUCGAUUCAUCAAACGAAUUGGUAGAGCAACCAUCGUCACAGCCACCGCAACCAACUGAUGCACAACAAUCAUUGACGCGGGCGAAUCUUGCUGCAUUCAAUGCCGCCCAAGACGGCAGCAAGAAGAGCGGCAACAGCAAAAGUCAAGGCCUGCCAUCAAGUCCACCAUUACCAUACCUACGGCCACGCGGACCAAAUAAAAGUAAUUUACUUUUGACAACUCAACAACUCCAUACAAUAAUUAAAUAUUAACUUUUUAAAUUUUUGAAUAGGAUUUCCGAAUGAUGCUACAUUCACAGGU